rnacentral:rRNA from 1 species
CAUGUCUUUUUGAUAAUAAUUUAAGGUUUAAUCUGCUCAAUGAAUAUUUAAAUUGCCGCAGUAUAUUAACUGUGCGAAGGUAGCAUAAUAAUUAGUUAUUUAAUUGAUAGCUAGAAUGAAUGAUUGGACGAGAAGUAUUCUGUCUUUUAUUUAUUUGAUGUUGAAUUUAACUUUUAAGUUAAAAGGCUUAAAUUUUUAUUAAAGACGAGAAGACCCUAUAGAGUUUAAUUAUUAAUUGAUUUACUUAAAUGUAUAUGGUAUUUAAUUUUUAAAUUGAUUAAUUAAUUUGUUUGGGGUGAUUUAAGGAUUGAUAAAACUCUUUGAUUUUUUUUAUCAUUGAUUUAUGAAUAUUUUAUUUUUAAUAAUAAAUAUAAACUAAAUUACCUUAGGGAUAACAGCGUAAUUUUUUUUAUUGAGUUCUUAUUAAUAAUAAAGUUUGCGACCUCGAUGUUGGAUUAAAAUUUAUUAUGGGUGUAUAAGCUUUAUAAUUAAGUCUGUUCGACUUUUAAAAUUUUACAUGAUCUGAGU